rnacentral:rRNA from 1 species
AUGGCGGCUCUCAUGGCGCAGCGAUUGCCGGGCCUCAACAAAAUCCGUCGUGAGCUCCAGCGCCGCAGGAAGGCCGUCAACACGACGAAGUGCAGAGUUGAGAAGACAUCCUCCGUGUUGCUGUCGCCGCUGCGCCGAUCCGACGACUGGAGCAAGCAGGCCCGACGCGUGCCCAUCCCGCUCUCAAUAGUCAAGGCUGCCACCAAGGGGAUCUCCUACGUGCCGAUGCGGGAGGUGCAGGAGAGGUGCACGGCCCAGCCGCGCCUUCAUCCGCUCAUCUUUCUGGCAUCCAGCAGCAGCAUGAAGGUUCCCGCCGUCGCGAGCGCCGGAACUCCCAGGAGAUCCACCGCCCCGUCACCGCCAUGCCCGUUGGCGUUCAUCCCGCCGGGUUCAGCUGGCGCGGCCACCGUAAAGGCAUCUGCGACGAAUCCGCACGCGGCAGCAAGAGUAGCUACCACCAGCACCAAGACGACAACCGGACAGGAGCGCAUCAAGACGAUCCCGGGCAUGACCGUGAGGGUGCGCAUGCGCGUAGGGACCCUGCGGCCGACGGGCAGGAGGCUCGUCCUCUGGCGCAGCGCCGUCGUCUUCUCCGACGCGGAUGAAGCUGGCUUCAUUCAAGUGAUCUACCACGGACAGUUCCCUCGAACUGUGCGCGUUGCCGUGGACGACGUCAAGCACAUGCCGACCGUCACCGAGAGCUAG